UUAUUUUUGUUCCCAAGUUUUAUUAAAAAACAAUUUUUUUGUUUUAGGAGUAGCUAUACAUGCAUGUGACGUUAAAGCCUUUUAAACGUAAAAUUUGUGAAUAUAGUUUUCAAGAGACCUGAUUUCGUAAUGUUAUAUUUAAUACUGAAAUCAGAUGAAUUAUGACCAUAGUUAUAGCCUAUAGGUAAAUAUCAAAAAAUGGUUUCUAUUAAAGGCAAAUUUGGUAUCUAAUAUAUCUGUGUGGUGGAAGAAACUCUUUGAAAGUAAUCGGUCUCAAACUUUAUUUGUGUGACUUGUUCAACUUCAAAAUUUAUGUUUUAUCAAUGAAGGGAAUUGAAGUGAUCAACGAUUAACAAAGUCAAUAAUUUAGUGUCAAAAAAACAAGAUCUUUGUUAUUUUUCUUUGAUGGUUGGUAUUAUACGGUAAGAGGUGAUUUCAUUAGAUUUUUAUCACUUAGGCCAGUGGUUAGCAAUAGGCGGCCCGCGGUCCAAGUCUGGCUCAUGAAGGAAAAAUAUUGACCACAAAAAAUAUUUAUUUUUUU